rnacentral:rRNA from 1 species
GUGUUCGUUAUUAAGGGCGCAUGGUGGAUGCCUUGGCAUGCUGAGCCGAUGAAGGACGUGAAAGGCUGCGUUAAGCCUCGGGGAGUUGUCAAUUAAGCGUUGAUCCGAGGAUGUCCGAAUGGGGAAACCUGGCCCUGGUUAUGUGGGGUUACCCUUCAGUGAAUUCAUAGCUGUUGUGGGGGUUUACGCGGGGAAGUGAAACAUCUCAGUACCCGUAGGAGAAGAAAAUAAUAAUGAUUCUGCUAGUAGUGGCGAACGAACGUGGAUGAGGCUAAACCGUGUGCAUGUGAUACCUGGUAGGGGUUGUGUGUGCGGUGUUGUGGGCCCUGAUGUGCGGUGACUACCAUUGCCGCGCCCUCGCAUUGUUGUUAGGUGAAGUGGUUUGGAAUGGCCUGCCGGAGUAGGUGAGAGUCCUGUAGCUGAAGAUGAUGAUGUGUGGGUUGUUGGGUUGCCCGAGUAGCAGCGGGCUCGUGGAAUCUGCUGUGAAUCUGCCGGGACCACCCGGUAAGCCUAAAUACUCAGUGUGACCGAUAGUGUAUGAGUACCGUGAGGGAAUGGUGAAAAGUACCCCGGGAGGGGAGUGAAAUAGUUCCUGAAACCAUGUGCUUACAAUCCGUCAGAGCACCGUGUGUGUGUGAUGGCGUGCCUUUUGAAGAAUGAGCCUGCGAGUCAGCGGCAUGUCGCGAGGUUAACCCGUGUGGGGUAGCCGUAGGGAAACCGAAUCCUAAUGGGGUGUCAAGUGGCAUGUCCUGGACCCGAAGCGGGGUGAUCUACCCAUGGCCAGUGUGAAGCAGCUGUAAGAGGUUGUGGAGGCGCGAACCCACGUAGGUUGAAAACUGCGGGGAUGAGCUGUGGGUAGGGGUGAAAGGCCAAUCAAACUCCGUGAUAGCUGGUUCUCCCCGAAAUGCAUUUAGGUGCAGCGUCGUAUUAUAGCUUGGUGGAGGUAGAGCGACUGGUUGGUUGAGCGGGACUACAAUCUUAGCAAUGUCAGCCAAACUCCGAAUGCCACUAAUUGUGUUGUACGGCAGUGAGACUGUGGGGGAUAAGCUUCAUAGUCGAGAGGGAAACAGCCCAGAUCGCCGGUUAAGGCCCCUAAGGGUGUACUAAGUGGAAAAGGAUGUGGGAUCGCGAAGACAGCCAGGAGGUUGGCUUAGAAGCAGCCAUCCUUGAAAGAGUGCGUAAUAGCUCACUGGUCGAGUGGUUCUGCGCCGACAAUGUAGUGGGGCUCAAGUACACCGCCGAAGCCGCGGCAACAAUUUUUUUGUUGGGUAGGGGAGCGUCGUGCAUGGGUUGAAGCGUUACCGUAAGGAGGCGUGGACUGUGUGCGAGUGAGAAUGCAGGCAUGAGUAACGAAUUGAUAGGUGAGAAUCCUAUCCGCCGGAUGACUAAGGGUUCCUGGGUCAAGUUCGUCUUCCCAGGGUGAGUCGGGACCUAAGGCGAGGCCGACAGGCGUAGUCGAUGGAUAACCAGUUGAUAUUCUGGUACCCGUACAUGCGCGCCCAUGAUAAAGCACUGAUACUAACCACCGCGGAUGCAUUGCUGGUCUUCUUUGAAGUCUGGUGGUGUUGAUGUCGUGGGGCCUGAUGUGUGGUUCAAGUGAUGGGGUGACGCAGUGAGGUAGCCACGCCACUUAUUGGAUUGGUGGUGUAAGCGUGCAGACCGUGUGGUAGGUAAAUCCGCUGCACAUUUUGGUUGAGGCGUGAUGCGUAGACCCAUUGGGGUUGAUGGUGGUGAUCCUGUACUGUCGAGAAAAGCCUCUAGCGAUGUGUGUGUAUGGCCCGUACCCUAAACCGACACAGGUGGUCAGGUUGAAAAUACUAAGGCGUUCGGGUGAACUGUGGUUAAGGAAUUCGGCAAAAUGCCCCCGUAACUUCGGGAGAAGGGGGGCCCUACGAUGUGAGCAUCCUUGCGGUGUUAAGCGUUGUGGGGUCGCAGAGAAUAGAGGGAAGCGACUGUUUAUCAAAAACACAGGUCCAUGCGAAGACGUUAAGUUGAUGUAUAUGGACUGACGCCUGCCCGGUGCUGGAAGGUUAAGAGGACCGGUUAGUCAACGUUGUUGGCGAAGCUGAGAAUUUAAGCCCCAGUAAACGGCGGUGGUAACUAUAACCAUCCUAAGGUAGCGAAAUUCCUUGUCGGGUAAGUUCCGACCUGCACGAA